GGAGACUGUGAACUUUCUCCUUGUACGAUGUGAACAAGGUGGCAUUGCUUAUAGGCACUUUCUUCGUGAUCUGUACGAGGACUUAGUCCGUAAGUUGUUAGACUUAUCUGCAGUGGAGAAUGUUCUUGUCACUCAGCCUUGUCGAGACAACAUGCUGUAUCUUUUAAAACUUGUUGAUGAGAUGCUUCUUUCUGAAAUGAAGUUUAAUCUUCCGUAUCCAGCCGGCAACACAGAAUUUUCUUCAGAGUUCUUAGAACUAGAACAGCUGAAUGAUCUUGG
rnacentral:misc_RNA from 1 species